rnacentral:rRNA from 1 species
UACGUAGGGUGCGAGCGUUGUCCGGAAUUAUUGGGCGUAAAGGGCUCGUAGGCGGUUUGUCGCGUCGGGAGUGAAAACCCGGGGCUCAACUCCGGGCCUGCAUUCGAUACGGGCAGACUAGAGUUCGGUAGGGGAGACUGGAAUUCCUGGUGUAGCGGUGAAAUGCGCAGAUAUCAGGAGGAACACCGGUGGCGAAGGCGGGUCUCUGGGCCGAUACUGACGCUGAGGAGCGAAAGCGUGGGGAGCGAACAGG